GCGACUGUCUUGUUGUUGCUGCGCCGCAACAGCCGCAGUUCCCCGUUCCCUCUCACCCUACCCUGUUCCCCGCGCCUGAGCUCCUUCAGGCAGCGACACUCGAGCGAUUCCUCGGAGAGAUUGUCUCUCCAAAAAGUCGGUCUCGCAGUUCGUUGAAAGGCAGAGACUGACCGAGGGCUCUUCACCAACUGAGCCCUUCCACAGAAUUGUCUUUGAAGAUCUCUCGUGUCCUUUAUUGGAAGGCAAAAGUACUGUGUCUGGUUCUGAGACCUUCACUGCAGUAAAGAUUCUCCCUCCCUGGACUUGGUCCAGGGAGGGGGAACACAGCUGCUGCAGAGUCUAGAGGUGAGCUGAGACACAGUCACUGGUACGACUCAUCCACCCCCAACAUCCUUCAGAAUGGAUUCUGGAUUCCCGAGGAGAGAGGUGCUGGCUCGUCCUCUGAGGCCAAGAGAGGCUGAGAAGCCC